rnacentral:antisense_RNA from 2 species
AAGAGCACGACAUUGCUCACAUUGCUUCCAGUAUUAGUUGCCCGCACGCUGUGCGGGCUUUUUUU